rnacentral:rRNA from 1 species
AGCGAACGCUGGCGGCAGGCUUAACACAUGCAAGUCGAACGGGCGUAGCAAUACGUCAGUGGCAGACGGGUGAGUAACACGUGGGAACGUACCUUUUGGUUCGGAACAACUGAGGGAAACUUCAGCUAAUACCGGAUAAGCCCCUUACGGGGAAAGAUUUAUCGCCGAAAGAUCGGCCCGCGUCUGAUUAGCUAGUUGGUGGGGUAAGAGCCCACCUAGGCGACGAUCAGUAGCUGGUCUGAGAGGAUGAUCAGCCACAUUGGGACUGAGACACGGCCCAAACUCCUACGGGAGGCAGCAGUGGGGAAUAUUGGACAAUGGGCGAAAGCCUGAUCCAGCCAUGCCGCGUGAGUGAUGAAGGCCCUAGGGUUGUAAAGCUCUUUUAACGGGGAAGAUAAAUGACGGUACCCGUAGAAUAAGCCCCGGCUAACUUCGUGCCAGCAGCCGCGGUAAU